CCUGGUUGAUCCUGCCAGUAGUCAUAUGCUUGUCUCAAAGACUAAGCCAUGCAUGUCUAAGUAUAAGUGUUAUACAGUGAAACUGCGAAUGGCUCAUUAAAACAGUUAUAGUUUAUUUGAUAAUCGAAUUUACAUGGAUAACCGUGGUAAUUCUAGAGCUAAUACAUGCUGGUGAGCCUGACUUUUAGGAAGGGCUGUAUUUAUUAGAUAACAAACCAAUAUUCUUCGUGUCUAUUGUGACGACUCAUAAUAACUGAUCGGAUCGCAUGGGCUUUGCCCGCGACAAAUCAUUCAAGUUUCUGCCCCAUCAGCUUUCGAUGGUAGUGUAUUGGACUACCAUGGCUUUAACGGGUAACGGAGGAUUAGGGUUCGAUUCCGGAGAGGGAGCCUGAGAAACGGCUACCACAUCUAAGGAAGGCAGCAGGCGCGUAAAUUACCCAAUCGCGACUCGCGGAGGUAGUGACAAGAAAUAACAGACCGAAGCUAACGUUUCGGGAUUGCAAUGAGUAGAAUUUAAACCCCUUUACGAGGAUCAAUUGGAGGGCAAGUCUGGUGCCAGCAGCCGCGGUAAUUCCAGCUCCAAUAGCGUAUAUUAAAGUUGUUGCAGUUAAAAAGCUCGUAGUUGGACUUCUGGGAGGAUGCCAAUGUCCGCUUGUUAGCGUGUGCAGCGGCGUCCUUCCAUCCUUCUGUUAACGUUUCUUGGUAUUCACUUACUGGUUUCGGGCUCAGAUAUUUUACCUUGAGAAAAUUAGAGUGUUUCAGGCAGGCUUGCGCCGGAAUACAUUAGCAUGGAAUAAUAGAAUAGGACUUUAGUCUCCUUUGUUGGUUUGAGGGACUGAAGUAAUGAUUAAUAGGGAUAGUUGGGGGCAUUAGUAUUUAAUUGUCAGAGGUGAAAUUCUCGGAUUUGUUAAAGACUAACUUAUGCGAAAGCAUUUGCCAAGGAUGUUUUCAUUAAUCAAGAACGAAAGUUAGGGGAUCAAAGACGAUCAGAUACCGUCCUAGUCUUAACCAUAAACUA
rnacentral:rRNA from 1 species